GAGCGUAGCUUCCUUGUCGUGUGGCCUCAGUCCUUCGCCGUCCCUCGCCGUCCUUCGCCAUCGCACGCCACCGCACCCCAUCUCUCGAAAUCUGCAGACAUCUUGAUUUUUCCCACGCUGUCUGUCAGGUCUCCGCCGCCACUCGACGCCAGGGCGCCGGGUGAGUCCACAGCAGGGCGCAUGGUCGGCUCCACUCUCACCAUCGGGGGAAACUGAGGCCCCGGGGAAGGCGGCCAGAGAGGUCAGGCCCUGUCCUUGGUGCAGUGUCUCGUCCUCUUUGCCGGAGUGAGCCCCCCAGGAUUCGCGUGUCCUCGGGAAAGACACUGGCAGGCCUUGUGGGCUGUGCUGCACCUCGGACGGCUUCGCACCAGCCAGCGCCCUCUCUCUCCUGCAGCACUCUGAUCUGCACCCCCUGAGGGGCUUCCACUGUCCGCGGGGUGAGAAUGCCCCUGGGAGUGUCACAUGACUGCCGCCCCAUGUGUGUGAGAGGCGUCCUCUGGGAGAGCAUGGAUCCUGAGGUCCCAGGAUUGUCAGCUGACCUCUGUCCUGUGUGCCCAGUGGCCCCAGGUGACGUGUCUUCAAGAAGAGGCUGAGCUGCGGUGCUUGUAAGGGUCUCAUUCUGUCACCCAGGCUGGAGUGCAGUGGUGCAAUGAUGGCUCACUGCAGCCUCGACCUGGGCUCAAGUGAUCCUCCACCUCAGCUUCCUGAGUAGCUGGGACCACAGAGUCAUGUGCUGUUCCUGGGGCUUGGAUGAUGUAGGGGAAGCAAGGUGAAAGUGGUAUCCCGUGGUUCCACGUUCUGUCCUGCUGUGGGGCUGUCCCUCACAUGCUUUCAGUGGCUGUUGCAGAGGAAGAGCCUCCGGAAAUCUGCGUGGGUAAAGUCUCAGCCUUAGAUCCAAGGACAGUCCAAGGAAGUCCUAAGACCAUGGAGUUGGUGAUCUGGGAUCUGGGUUUGCUGAUAUUUCUCACCGUGAAUCUCUUGGUGGUGUUUGUGGGCACGAGAGGGGCAGAGAAUGGAGAGUGAGGCUACCACAUGAAGCGUCACCAGAGCUGCUCCCUGCUGCCUGCUCAGAGCACCCCGGAUCCACUGUUCAAUCUGCACAAGAUUCGGGGUCCAGACAUGGGAGACUUCAGCUGCCUCAGAGGACCGUGGACAGGGAAGGCCAGCCUCGCAUCCCUCUGUCCAUGCCUGGAAUGACUUUAAUAACCAAGAGUUUUAUUUUUGAAUUUGUAGCUGUCGUUCACUUUUUACCCACCCAUUCAAUAAACCUUACAGAAUU
rnacentral:lncRNA from 1 species